rnacentral:rRNA from 1 species
GCCGCGAGGUGGAGCAAAUCCCAAAAAUAACGUCUCAGUUCGGAUUGUAGUCUGCAACUCGACUACAUGAAGCUGGAAUCGCUAGUAAUCGCGAAUCAGAAUGUCGCGGUGAAUACGUUCCCGGGUCUUGUACACACCGCCCGUCACACCAUGGGAGUCAGCAACGCCCGAAGCCGGUGACCCAACCGAAAGGAGGGAGCCGUCGAAGGUGGGGCCGAUAACUGGGGUGAAGUCGUAACAAGGUACC